CUACGGGUCGCUGCAGUAAGGAAUAUUCCACAAUGGGCGAAAGCCUGAUGGAGCGACACCGCGUGGAGGACGACACCUUUCGGGGCGUAAACUCCUUUUCUGAGUGAAUAAGUUCUGAAAUUAACUCAGGAAUAAGUGACGGCUAACUACGUGCCAGCAGCCGCGGUAAUACGUAGGUCGCAAGCGUUAACCGGAAUUAUUGGGCGUAAAGGGUCCGUAGCCGGAAAAGAAAGUCUGAUGUUAAAACACGGUGCUCAACACCGUGAUCGUAUUAGAAACUUCUUAUCUAGAGUUAUUCAGAGGUGCGUGGAAUUUCUUGAGUAGGGGUAAAAUCCGUAGAUACAAGAAGGAACACCAAAAGCGAAGGCAGCGCACUGGGGAUAUACUGACGGUCAGGGACGAAAGCGUGGGGAGCAAAGAGGAUUAGAUACCCUAGUAGUC
rnacentral:rRNA from 1 species